UUAUGCUCUUUGGUCCUAAGAUUCUUUUUCUGUAAAAUGGACUUAAUAGAUAAGAGUUCAAAUGAUAUAAACAGCUUUCUUCUUUUUUUUUUCUGAAGCAAUUGGGGUUGUUUAGUUUCUUAGGUCACAUUUGAACUCAGGUCCUCCUGAUUUUAAGGUUGGUACUCUAUCCACUGCACUAUCUAGCUGUCUCAACAGCUUUCUAAAGAAGAAUUACCAAUUGUAAAGGAAAACAUGUUCCAAAUCACUAAUAUUAACAGAAAUGAAAACAAAUGAAGUUUUUGAACAAAUGUUCAACAUAUAUUGAAAUAGUCAUAACAGCACUCUGUAGUAGCAGACAACUAGAAACAAAGUAGGUAUCCAUUUGUUCAGACACAAGUAAAGAAAAUUAUGAUACAUGAAAGUAAUAGGAUGAUAUUAGUAAAAAAAAUGAGGAAUAUAAAGAAUUGGGAGAAAAGGAGGAAGAUUUGUAUAUAGUUAUACAGAAUAAAAAAAAAAAAAAAAGCAAAACCAAGAGGAUAAUAUAUGCACUUGGCUAAACUAACACCAUACAAAUGAAAACAUCACUCAAAGUCCAACUCUGAAUCAUGGAAAGAACAAUGAAGGUCCCAAAUUGCAGAUUAUGAAGUGUACUUCUCUCUCAGAAAAGAGUUUCCUCAUCUGUAAAAUGAGCUGGAGAAGGAAAUGGAAAACCACUCCAGUGUAUUUGGCAAGAAAACCCCAAAUGGGGUCAGUCACGAAGAAUCAGAUAUUGCUAAAAAAAGACUGAACAACAAUGGCAAGUUUCCAAGGUGACUCUGGAAGCUUAGAUCAGUUUUCCUGUUCUCCUGAUCAUCUAAGAGAAUGAAGAUGAGUUUAAAAAAAAAAAAAAAAAAAAAAAAAAGAUCAAUUAAUGAUAUCCAGCAAACACCACAGCAAUCUGGUAUAGUUAAAAGAGAAAGGAACCAUGGAAGGCAAGGAAGAGCUGAAAAUAAUAGUCAGUCUUAUGAAGUCAUAAAGUUAAAUACUUUGGUUUUGAGGAAUACCAGAGGAUUUUCUUGAAGACAGGAAUUAUUUUGUAUUUCUCUGACAAAAUAAUGUCGUUUUGUUAUUUCUAAAUUUCUACCACAAGGCAAUUUUAAUGAUUUUUACUUAACAUAUAAUUCCAAUAAAUAACAUUUUAUUAGUAAAGUGUCUUAUAUAACAGUUUAAUCAAAAAUCUGAAUCAUGGAUUAUUCUAUCUUUUAUUGAUACAAUUUAGAAUAAAAUUUCAGAAUUAGGAGGAUACUCAAAGUUCAUUUAAUCAAAAUUGUAACUUAAAUAGGAAUUCCCUAUAAAAUACCUCCAUCAAAUUGUCAUCCAGCUUCACAAAAGUAAAAAUGGAAGGGUUAUUUAAUUUUGCAGUCAGGGUGUUUAAUAAAUAUUUGUUGGAUGAAUAAACAAGCAAUUUGAUCACUGUUGUAUAUAGUAAAAUGCAAAACAAGAAUAUGUAAUGAUGGCAUUCAUUAGUUAUUCAGUCUUACAAAAGCAUAUGAAUGAGAAACAGGUUCUAUAAGGACCUGUAGAAAGAGCACAAAAGGAACCUAUUUCUUCUGAGAAUAUGACAAAUUUUUAAUCAGGCAAUGAGGAGAAAGUGGAAAACAAGCAUAUUCCUUCACUGCUUGCAAAGAUCAAAGUUAAAUUUUUAGUCAAUUCUUGAUGAAAACACUGAUCAUAGAAUUAGUCAGUUUAAGACAAGGUAAUAGAGGUCCUAUAAUAAAUUGAUUUUGCUAUAAUAUCAAAAGCAGCCAGCUUUGGGUCACAAAUAUAAUAUUUCUUCUCUAUGCUUUUGACUCCUAGAAUUAUCUAUAAAAAUUCAAAAAUCUUUAAAUAAUAAAUUUUAGAUGCAACUUUUUGGCUAACAAUAGAAUAAAGCAGAAUGAGAUAUAUAAAAUUUCCUUGGGGUAUAUUAGAAAUAUAUUUUGUCUACAUUAAAUUGUUUUGUAUUUUUUCUGUAUAUCUGUAUAUGUAUCUAUACAUAUGAAUAGCAUAGUCCACACAAACCCACAUGAUAUAUAUGUAUACAUACACACAAAGAAAGAGGUCAAAACCACAAAAAGUGAUAGUAGAUGCUAUGUCAUUUGAUGAAAGUGAUAAAUAAGCUAGUAACAGAUCAAACAAUUCACUGGUCCCCAUAUCACUUAAGUAAGUAUGAAUAAUUACCAAUGAAAUUAUGGACAAAACUCAUUUCUUGAUUACUAGUCUAUAAAGGCAGGAUUCUUCAGUAUCUGUUUAGCAUAUUCCUGUAAUUUCAGACACAGGAAUAGCUUAAAGGAUAAUUAAAGAGACAAAAUUUGUUUCACAUUAAUAGCUAUUGCAGACUUUAUAAUACAAAAUAAUCUUGGCCCAUACCAUUUGUGUUAUCUCUAUUCUCAAGCCUUUCAGAUAGAUAAUAUAGUGGAAAGAACAUUGGCCUUGCAAUAAAAGGAUUUUAUUCAAAUCCCACUUCUUCCACUUACUAACUGUAUGAACCAAAUCAUUUCUCUGCUUGUUACCCAUUUCUUUAUUUGUAAAAAUGAAGGAAUUGUGUUAUAAUCAUUAAGAUUAUUUCCAAUUCUAAGGUCCUAUUUUAUAUAAAUGAAAUAGGAUAUCAGUUGCUUAGAACACAAGAGUUUUCCAGAACACAUACCAAAUAACAAAUCAAAACUGGAGACAUAUAGAGAAAGAUACCCACAAAUGUGGGCCCACAAAACCAUACUGCUCUGCCAUCAAAUAAAAUCAUUUGGUUCUCUUCUUCUCCCGCCCUUUAGGAUACUACAAUCUGACAAUACAGUAUAGCAUGCCAAUCUGUACCAAAAACAUCAACUUAAAGGUUUCGACUGUUCCUCCUUCUACUCUGCAGGCUACAUCACAGUAUAGGGAAGGAACCACAGAGAUCACCCCCGCCCCUGGUCUGCUCAGGACGCUAGCCUCUCGCUGCCUGUGCUAAUCUGUUCCUGGCCCCUCAGGAUAAACCUUUCCUGGCGAGCUUCCUGAU